AUGGAGAGAAUAUUUAUUUCCUGCCAUUUUGAAUUAUUUUUUCAUUGUUUCAGUGAGUAAUUAUUUCUUAAGAGAAUGUAAAUUCUUGAGGGCAGAGUUCGGACAAACCAAAGAAGAUCUUUAUUCAAGCAGAUCCUGAAGGCCAGAGUGAUAAAUAUCCAACCCUGCCCAGUCAGCAUUGACAGAAAGAAAGAUACUGUUUAAAAGGAUGAGAGCGAAAUUUUGGAGCCAGAAAAGCAGUACAGGAAGUAGGUGCAAAGGCUUAGGGAACUCAGUGGUGCAAAGCCGCUGGAGAAUCUCUUGUGGGGAAUGCCAGCUGCAGGGUAGAGACAUGGUCCUAUUGACAAUGACUACACCACACAUCUUGUUAGCACACCCAUAAUUCAAAUGCAGAGGAGCUCAGGGUUACAGUUUUGAAAGGUUUACUUUAAAAGGAAAUUUUUACUGGAAUAAAGCAACUCAAUUUUGCAUAUAAUUUGAUCUAGUGUGGUAGAAAGAUCCCAGAAUUUGGAGGUGGAAGGGCACUGUUUGAAGUCUGACCCAGGGAAAACUACCUCUUGACCUAUUUCCUUACAUGUAAAAUGAAGUUCAUUAUACUUGUUCUACCUUGCAGCAUUAUGUAGAUGACCAAAUACAAGAAUACAUGAGAAAGUAUUUUUGAGAGCUAUCAAGUGUUAUAAAAUAUUAGUUAUUAUAAUUAUUUUUGAAGUUGUAAUUUUAAAACUAUUAAACUCUCCUAGUUGCCUUAAAAAUACAAUGAAAAUUACACAAAGUACAGAAAACUUUUCAGAAAUCAAUGAUCUAAUCAUAUGAUUACAUAAUGCUUUUCUGCCUUGCCUUCUCUUUUUUUAGUUAUUCCAUUAAUCAGAAUCCUUUUAUGAGUAGAGAGGCUGUGGAGAGAAUCCCCAGAUCCCUGGAGCUUGACCCACAGGCCAUCAGAGUCAGGCCCCAUUCAUAUUUUCAGAUCCAGCUCCUUCCCCGUCCUGUUAAACAAGUAGCAACUUAGGUCCCAGAAUGAAGUAGGCUAGUCAUGCCUCCUUGCCUUUAGCACUUACUCUUUCUUCUUUUGGAAUACACUUUUUUGGACUCAUAUUCAUUUUGCAAGACCUACUCAGGCAUCUCUGAAACUGGAAAAUCAUAGGUUAAAUCAACUACACCUGUAACCUGCCUUCACCUCGCAAGGUCCUUUUAGCUGUUGCUCCAAAAAAACCUUGCUUAUCCUCCAAACUGCAGGUGACCUAAACAGAGGGUAGUCAGGAACUUGGAGUCUGCUGUGUCUAGUUAGUCAGCUGUGUCUUGUUAGAACAGAACCACUUAAGGCUGGAUAGGCCCCUCCCCAUCUUCCAACUGCGCAUGUGUUGGCGCUGCUCAGUGACCUUUUGAGGUCAAAAGGCUGAAAGAUCCGCCCUCUGAGUGCAGUUGCUAUGGACCAAGAAUACUGGAAUGGGUUGCCAUUUCCUUCUCCAAGGGAUCUUCACUACCCAGGGAUUGAAUCUGCAUCUCCUGCAUUGCAAACAGUUUCUCUACUGCUAAGCCACCUGGGAAGCCCCUCUGAGUAUGACCUACAUGUACCUAUGUGUGUUUUCUGUGCAAAAACAUCGGAGUCGUAGCGCAGUGAUGGUUGUGGUGGAUCGUCAGUCAGCAGCUGGUCUCACCUCCUUCCGGUGUGCUUUACUACAGAAGCCAGAAAGCAAAAAGGGUAUUUUUCUAGAUGCUCUUGUAGAAGAAAUUCUGGACCAUCAGAGUCUUUUCCAAUGAGUCAACUCUUCGCAUGAGGUGGCCAAAAUAUUGGAGUUUCAGCUUUAUCAUCAUUCCUGCUAAAAAAUACCCAGGACUGAUCUCCUUUAGAAUGGACUGGUUGGAUCUCCUUGCAAUCCAAGGGACUCUCAAGAAUAGUUUUCAAAUAGUUCAGUGCCAGUAUUCCUGGUUGGCUGACACUUUUCUUCCAUUCUGUGGCUCUGGAACCCUCUAGUCUUCUCAUCUUUUGUGUCCAAAUAGCAGAAAGAAAAAGGGCUUGUGGAAGAAGUACAUUUUCCUCUUAAAAUCUCUGGCCCUGGAAUGACACAUAUCGCUUCUGACCAUAUUCCAUUGGUAAGGGCUAUUAAGUGACCUGGCUUUAUCUACACUCAAGGAAGUUGGAAAAUGUGGCCACUGGACAGUCAUUUCCUAGUAACAACUGUCCUGAAGGGACGUGAAGUUUCUACCUGCCACAGAGGCUUAUUCUGAGUGUCGUUCUUAGACUACAGGCAACGGAACCCAUACCUGCAUUUCUUGAAAUGAUUUUUAAGACUCUCUUUCCUUAUAUUGAAGUUCUUUUUACUUAAAGGUAGCUAGAAUGAUUUCUGUUUUCUGCCACCAUAGUAUAUAUGUUACUCAUUUUUUUGAUCUUUAUAUUUCAUAAAAAUCAAUUUCUAAUACCAUUAAAAUUUGCCUUUUGGCUCUCAAAUGCUGCUUUCAUGACUUCUACUAUUUUAUAUCACAGGGACUUAUAAGUCUAGGUUGGGUUUUUCUUUUAUUAUGAACAUAUUUUCUUCCUAGAUUUAAAUGGUUUAUGGUAAUUCAAAAAUUUUGACAGAAUGUGUUUAAAUAUCAUUUACUCUGGAAUAGAUUGACCAUUUUUCUUCUGUCAUCCCUGGACUUUUGUACUUUAGGAAACCUUAUGCCAACCUUAAAUAUAUUGGAUUGUUUCUUUUUCAAAAGACUUAGAUUCCCUUUGUGAGAACACCUGUAACUUUGUUGAUUUCUGUCAUAUUUAUAAUUCUUAUUAAAAGAAACCUUGUGGAAUAAUGUUGCUUUUUAAUUAUAUGUAAGUACAAUUUUAAUAAGGAUACAACCUAAAUAUUACAUAAUAGUGUUAAUAAAAUGGCCUCUAAAAUCUGCUCCUAAACAGUAAGUUUUACUAGAAAGAAUAGGCAGCUUUGUUAGAAACACUCUAAUGUCCAUGGUAGAGACCGUGUAAAUAAACAAUGAAACAUCUUUACAUUAGAAAGUGAUAUAACUCUUAAAAAUAAAACACAGGAAAAAAAGCAUAACAACUGAGACAACUCAUAGUCAUAGGAAUCACUUUGAGAUACUUUGUUUAGGGAUCAACUCAAGUUCCAAAGCAGCUGAACUCGUGUGCUACAUUUUUGUAGAAAGGAAUGAAGAGGAAAAUGAAUUUAUAUUAACAUAAACAUAAAAUACCUUUUGAGGCUUACUUUGAAAACUGAUACAUUUGAUUGUCCCUCUCUGGGUAAACUAGGUGGCUGAGGGCAGGAUCUGGGGAGAGAUUUCUGCAUCGUAUGCCCUUUUGUACCCCUUGAAUCUUGAACUAUGUGUGAAUAUAAACUGCCCCUCCCCAAAUAAAAAAUAAAU